GCUGGGCGUGGUGGCUCACGCCUGUAAUCCCAGCACUUUGGGAGGCCGAGGCGGGUGGAUCACCUGAGGUCAGGAGUUCAAGACCAGCCUGGCCAACAUGGUGAAACCCUGUCUCUA
rnacentral:sRNA from 1 species